GAUGCGUGCUGCUAUGGCAAUAUACGCUUAGUCUCAAACCUGCUCCGAGCAAUUUUUGACCUUGGUUAAGUAGAGGUUUCUGCGUAAGCCAGCCCUAUACGUGCACCACGCCUCCAACUACAAUUUCUCCGAAGAUAAAACGGGGGUAUAUGGAUGAUCCGUACGACUUUAGCGCGCUAAUCGUGAGGGACUCAAUAUGUAUGAAAUAUGUAUAAUAUGCAUGCAAUAUAUUAAUUAAUAACUUAGAGAGAAUGCUAUAUAGAGAAAGUUGAAAACCCAAAGGGUGUGCAUUGUUCCCCGUUGUCCACUGAUCAAAGCACACUUCUCUAGAUGUGCCUGUCUUGUCUAGUUUUAAAGUUAUUAAACCAUUCAUGUAUUGUUCCAUUGCACAUUAUACGGAUACAUUCGAACAUUCUAAAAUUAAUUAAAAUUCGUACGUAAAGCAAUCUGGGAAACGGGGUAUCCAACAGUCGCCAUGAGCUAAUGCUAAACCUCCAUGUCAAUGUCAUUACAGCUGAAAUUCUAUUAUAUUCGCUAUUAACACGAUUUGGCACAGAUCACGAAAUCGCAAAAAUAAUCGGUGUGCAUCGUUGUCUGUGUACUGGAUAUCACAAUUCUGUCAUGACAAACGCCCCAUCUUACUUCCUGUAGAAUUUAUUAAAAACAGAAAACUGAAUAUCGAACAUUAUCUCGAGACAGGUGUUUUGAAUCAUGAAGACCGUUAGGAGAUAAAGCGGCAGCGAAAGCUAAUUUUAAUAAAAAUUAUUGAUCAUCCCUUGAUAGCCCAAUUUAAAGACACCCCCUAUAAGUAAAAUGUUACGUUAAUAUACAUGUUUAACCGAAUUAAUAGCAGGAAUUACAUCUUUGUUGCUGUUUUUCCUCUGCCACAGUGGUUUGCCAUCUACUUUAGCCGUGUGCUUGUCCACAUCUACUGAACUCCAAGGGGGAUCAAAGAAUCACUGAUGACCUGAGUGAAAUGAGGUUUUUUGUCUCAGGACUUUUUGUCUACCACAGGAUGACAUACAUAGAACGUCUCAAACAACCUCAACCGGCUACACCAAAAAUGUACCCAGUGACCAGCCAGACUGCCCAGGAGUGUUUGAAACAACCAGCAAGAGCAUGACACACUGAAAAGUCUUUGUUCGCCGAUUAUCUCACUCAUUCUACUGUGAUAGCUCAAAAUGUGGUGGCGGCAAGUAAGCUGCUGAGCAAGCUGGCAGGUAAAUCGUGCACAGUCUACGGAAGAGGGAACCAGUCGUGCUGCCUGUAGCACUGCACGGGACGCUGCCUUUGGAUCAAAUCAACAGUUGGAUGUCCAGUCAGUAUUUGACAGGUUUCUUCAGACCCACCUGGUGACCCUGGAUGUGGACAUGCCAGGCAAGAGUGCCCGUUCACAGACAUCAGGCCAGUUUCAGUGACAGCUAUACGAGUUUGGUUGAAGGCCCAGAUGAAACUCUAUGUGUAGCGUGUCCUCUGUGAGAAUUGUUAUUUAGACGUCGACCGAUAUGGGUUUUUCAAUACCUGAUGCCGAAAUUUAGGAGUCAGGGUCAGGUGAUGCCCGGUAUAUGCUGCUGAUUUUUUAUGCCCGAUAAUUGGACGUUUUCCCCCUCUAUCUGCAUCGUAAUAUAUCACGCUAAUAAUAACAAACCAUACAAAAAAAGUCUCAACUUAGCAUUUAUUGAAUACUAAAACAAUAAUAAAAAUAGCAGGAUCAGAAUCUUUAAGUACACAAUAUAGCGGCAAACUCCUCGUUUUUGAGGAAAGGAACAUUUGUAAACUACAAAAAAAGGAAUGUGUAUGUUAUCCUCAGUUUUAUUCCCACUUCCAGUCCCUGAGUCUUCCUUGCCCCACCCAUCCCUCACAGCCAUCAGAUAGCAAAUACUAAAGCAAAAGAAUUGCAAGGUUAGCAUUUUUAUUAUAGUGCCUUCACCUCUAAUUCAUUCUACAAUUCCAGUAUUCCAUGCACAUUAAAACAAUUACACUCUUAAUACAUUUUGAAAAAAAAAACACUAGUAUUUAAGUGCAUCAUGGUAUGAUGAGUAGUGUACAAGGCCCAAAACCUUUCACUAACAUGUUGUUUAUGUUGUUAGCAAACAGAUAUCUUACAAGCUAAAUUCGCAAUUAGAACCUAGCGAUCGCAUAAAAUAAAAUACCUUUGGCGUAUUACACAGCCUUGUAUGCAAGGACAACGUAAACCCUUAGUGAUUGUGACGUUGUCGACUGAUAAGCCAGUAUAAAGCAUAGAUAUGAUUAAUGAGGAAACUAACUGCGCAUAGUCGUGCACUUUUCAUAGAGACGUCUGACAUAUUGUUACGAUCUCCGCUCUCAAAUGCAAACAAGUUGCACAGAAAGACCAUCGUCAGCAUCAGCUCAAGUGAAUGGUAACCACGCUUUUGAACAAACCGUUUUCUCUGCCAUGCAUUGUUUUUAUCAGCUCUGUGUCUCCUAGGACGGUGCUGUCUGUGAUCGGGGCAGAGUAACACAACUCUCACACAUGCUACAGUGUUUCAGAGCUGCCUGCUCCACCCCGCACACACAGAGUGAAACUGUCCGACACAAGAAAAAAAACAGAAUUGAUAACAUCGGGCUGAUAUGGUAAUAGCUAAAAUUUUAACAAAAUGAUUUUUAACGAUUAAAAAACGUCUGUGAGCCCACCAACAAGCACACCAAACUAACUCUGUCAGAAUCAAUGAUCCUUAACGAGGGCUCAGUGUCAUUACGCCAGUUCCCGACAGCAUAAUUCGCGUUCUCUUUUAAAGCAACAUUUCAUAGCAAACCAGUUAAAUAGGUCUUUGAAAGAUUAGAAUUUAAGCCUUACCAUUUAUUCCCAGCACUCUUCCAAAACUUCUGGCUGGGGUCCUGCACAAGGCAGCAUGGGUCAUGUGUUCUACAGCGACAGUAAUACUGGGCUGCCCGCAGACGUGCCUGUCUGUAAAUCGGUGUACUACACUCGAAUAUGGCAGAUGCCGAUACAUAAAAAAAAAGCCAAAUAUCGGUCAACCUGUAUUGUUAACACUAAUUAAUGUCAUAUUUACUGAGAAACAAUCUGUACAUGAUUAACAUAAUCUGUUUAACUGACAUAAUUUAAUUUGUUCUUGAUAGCACACUUUGAAAGACAGGAACCCUUUGGAUGAUCAUCUCAGAGUGACAUUUUCUGCAGCAAGGAUUAACUGUACGCUUGCUUGAACUUCAAUUCAGUUCGGUUCUUUAAUCAAAAAGUUUUUGUCGGUCUCGACCUGGAGCCGUGGUAGAGACUGUCAGUGUCGUUGCUAAGAUAGAAUCUGCAUACUUUCUAUUUUGUUUUAAUCCUACCAGCAAACCAGUAGUCAGAAUGUUUUCCCGCGUCGCAAGAUCAGCUGCAAGCAUCACUCAUAGCUUGCGCACCUCUUCCCAGAACCAUGCCAAGGUAGCAGGUGCGUCCGGGGGCAUCGGCCAGCCCCUGAAGAAGAGUCCCCUGGUUAGCCAGCUCUCUCUUUAUGAUAUUGUCCACAUCCUAUUGGUGUUGCUGCUGAUCUAAGUCACAUAGAGACCAGGGUCCAGGUCACUGACUACGUCGGCCCAUUGGAUCCGAGCAACUGGAUGCAGCUCUGACGAGGUGAACAGUAUUGGGCCACGUACUGUGUUAUGUGCAAAACUAUCAGAUGUAUUUCUUCCGUGAUCAGACUCAUCACCAUUCCUUUCCACUCAGAAUGUGGAAAUAGCCAACGGAUAAUAUGAACGCCCACAAAGGUAGCAGCAGAUUCUUCUGCUUUCUUCUGUUCAUCUGCUUAAUAAGCGUGAGAACCGCAUAGUAACCUGUAGGUACAAAAGCUAGUUUGAUGAUGCUAACAUAGCCUGUUUGCUGUGUUAUAAGAACUUGCUAUAUUAUAAGAUCCAUCCAUCCAUUUUCCAAACCGCGUAUCCUACUGGGUCGCGGGGGGUCCGGAGCCUAUCCUGGAAGCAAUGGGCACGAGGCAGGGAUAUUAUAAGAUCCCCCGACAUAAAGUUGCUGACUUGAAGCUAAGGAGCUAAGAAAAACAAUAUGGCCAAAGAAAAAUAGUUCGUAAGAGUUUAUUUACAGUACAUUACAGGACAGUAAAAGUUUACCACAGUCACAUCCUGCUCGUUCCCGUCAGUCCGGGAAUACGUAUAAAGUACAAAAGGAGUCCAGCAAACAGUUUGUGAAGAAAGGACUUUUAGUGCGCCUCCCCUUGACCUGCUGUGUUUGUUGCAAAGUCCUCCCCUUUCCUGAUGGAGGCCUUCAGCUCAUCCAACGCUUCCACCACCAGUUUGGUCUCCAAGGCGGAGAGCUUGCCAAGGCCCAGAUUCCUCUUCACUCCGUGUCUGCCGAGGAGGAGAGGGGUGGAAAAGUAUGUGCAUUCGCCUUCCUCUGACCUGACGAAUGCACAUUCGAUGACCCCUUCUUUGCCAUUCAUGGCAUCCAGCAAGGACAAGGCGAACCUAGCCCCUGCAUAUGCCAUGGAGAGGGUGGCAGAGCCUGCCCCAGCCUUCGCCUUCACCACCUCAGUGCCUGCGUCUUGGAUACGCCCGUGAGGUUAGCCAGGGCAUCCGCACUGAACUCCACUUUGGGAGUGCACCGAGAUAAGACGGGAAUUAUCGUCUUGCCCGCAUGGCUACCAGCUACGGGAACAUUGACGUGAGCAGGAUUCAGUCCCGUGAGUUCGGCCACGAAGGUGUUAGCCCUGAGGAUGUCUAGAGUCACACCAAAGACCCGCUUAGGGUUGUAACCUCCAUGCUUCUUAAGAAUCUCUGAAGCUAUGGGAACAGUGGAGUUUACUGGGUUGGUGAUUAGACAAAUCAUAGCUUCAGGGCAGUUGCGGGCACAGGCAUCAGCCAGGGUGGCCACGAUGGAGGGGUUGGUAUCAAAGAGGUCAUCCCGUGUUAUCCCGGGCUUCCUGGGCACUCCAGCAGGAAUGAGGACAGCUUCACUCCCCUUCAGAGCUUGCGGGAGUUGCUCUGGGCCGACGUAGCCAGUGAUCUGGGCCCUGGUCUGGAUGUGGCUACUGCUACUUCCACAACAAACAAUUCAGAAAACUCCGGAAAUAAUAAGUAUGCAUGUACUGUAUAUGUUACCCAUCACCACGAAAUGAGUCUUAAGUCGCACUGGUAGAAAUACACCCAUAAGACUCAUUUCGUGGUGAUUAGUCACAUAUAGAGUAGACAGACGUAGCAGUCAUAAGUUAUAUACAUCCUGUUUUAUUUUCUUUUACAAGUACAGACAUCUGAACUUUCAGUGUCCAUUUUCAAAGUAUUAAUGGUUCACCUUAUAUUUCACAUUCAGAAAAAUUCUUACGCAUUACUCUUUGGCAAAUAGUAACACCAGCACAGAGGAUGUUCAUAGCUUUGAACCCAUGACAAAACAGAAGUCUAGCGAUGAGUGUUUAACAUCUCCAACCUGAAGAAAAAUGUUUUUUUUUGGUACAUUUUAAAUGUUAGCAGUAUCUUUUAAAAGAGUUUAAAAACAUCCAAAGCCAGGGGAAUUCUUCAUCCAAAAGAGGCAGCAUUAAAGUGUUGGCGCACUCGCAAAGUCCUCCCCCUUCUUAAUGGAGGCCUUCAGCUCAUCCAGUGCUUCGGCCACCAGCUUGGUCUCCAAGGCGGAGAGCUUGCCAAGGCCCAGGUUUCUUUCCACUCCGUGUCUGCCGAGGAGGAGAGGGGUGGAAAAGUAUGUGCAUUCGCCUUCCUCUGACCUGACGAAUGCACAUUCGAUGACCCCUUCUUUGCCAUUCAUGGCAUCCAGCAGGGACACGGCGAACCUAGCCCCUGCAUAUGCCAUGGAGAGGGUGGCAGAGCCUGCCCCAGCCUUCGCCUUCACCACCUCAGUGCCUGCGUCUUGGAUACGCCUCGUGAGGUUAGCGAGAGUAUCCGCACUAAACUCCAUUUUGGGAGUGCACCGAGAUAUGAUGGGAAUUAUGGUCUUGCCCGCAUGGCCACCAACUACAGGGACGUUGACAUGAGCAGGAUUCAGUCCCGUGAGUUCGGCCACGAAGGUGUUAGCCCUGACGAUGUCUAGCGUCGUCACACCAAAGACCCGCUUAGGGUUGUAAACUCCAUGCUUCCUAAGAAUCUCUGAAGCUAUGGGAACAGUGGAGUUUACUGGGUUGGUGAUUAGACAAAUCAUAGCUUCAGGGCAGUUGCGGGCACAGGCAUCAGCCAGGGUGGCCACGAUGGAGGCGUUGGUACCGAAGAGGUCAUCCCGUGUCAUCCCGGGCUUCCUGGGCACUCCAGCAGGAAUGACGACAACUUCACUCCCCUUCAGAGCUUGCGGGAGUUGUUCAGGGCCGACGUAGCCAGUGAUCUGGGCCCUGGUCUGGAUGUGGCUACUGCUACUUCCACAACAAACAAUUCAGAAAACUCCGGAAAUAAUAAGUAUGCAUGUACUGUAUAUGUUACCCAUCACCACGAAAUGAGUCUUAAGUCGCACUGGUAGAAAUACACCCAUAAGACUCAUUUCGUGGUGAUUAGUCACAUAUAGAGUAGACAGACGUAGCAGUCAUAAGUUAUAUACAUCCUGUUUUAUUUUCUUUUACAAGUACAGACAUCUGAACUUUCAGUGUCCAUUUUCAAAGUAUUAAUGGUUCACCUUAUAUUUCACAUUCAGAAAAGUUCUUACGCAUUACUCUUUGGCAAAUAGUAACACCAGCACAGAGGAUGUUCAUAGCUUUGAACCCGUGACAAAACAGAAGUCUAGCGAUGAGUGUUUAACAUCUCCAACCUGAAGAAAAACGUUUUUUUUGGUACAUUUUAAAUGUUAGCAGUAUCUUUUAAAAGAGUUUAAAAACAUCCAAAGCCAGGGGAAUUCUUCAUCCAAAAGAGGCAGCAUUAAAGUGUUGGCGCACUCGCAAAGUCCUCCCCCUUCUUAAUGGAGGCCUUCAGCUCAUCCAGUGCUUCGGCCACCAGCUUGGUCUCCAAGGCGGAGAGCUUGCCAAGGCCCAGGUUUCUUUCCACUCCGUGUCUGCCGAGGAGGAGAGGGGUGGAAAAGUAUGUGCAUUCGCCUUCCUCUGACCUGACGAAUGCACAUUCGAUGACCCCUUCUUUGCCAUUCAUGGCAUCCAGCAGGGACACGGCGAACCUAGCCCCUGCAUAUGCCAUGGAGAGGGUGGCAGAGCCUGCCCCAGCCUUCGCCUUCACCACCUCAGUGCCUGCGUCUUGGAUACGCCUCGUGAGGUUAGCGAGAGUAUCCGCACUAAACUCCAUUUUGGGAGUGCACCGAGAUAUGAUGGGAAUUAUGGUCUUGCCUGCAUGGCCACCAACUACAGGGACGUUGACAUGAGCAGGAUUCAGUCCCGUGAGUUCGGCCACGAAGGUGUUAGCCCUGACGAUGUCUAGCGUCGUCACACCAAAGACCCGCUUAGGGUUGUAAACUCCAUGCUUCCUAAGAAUCUCUGAAGCUAUGGGAACAGUGGAGUUUACUGGGUUGGUAAUUAUACAUAUCAUCGCUUCAGGGCAGUUGCGGGCACAGGCAUCAGCCAGGGUGGCCACGAUGGAGGCGUUGGUAUCAAAGAGGUCAUACCGUGCCAGUGACCUGAUUCCUGGUCUCGAUGUGGCUGAGGUUUGCAGCUACUCCGAGGGUGUGGACAACAUCGUUUAGUGAGAGCUGGCUGACCAGUGGACUCUUCUUCAGGAGCAGUGACAGGGGCUGGCUGAUGCCCCCAAACGCACCCAACACUGCCACCUUUGUUUUGCUCCCGGCAUUGUAUUGCAAUGCUCGCAGCUGAUCUGGCGAUGCAAGAGAACAUUCUGAUGCGAGAGAGUACUGCUUUGCUGGUAAUCUGAAAACAAAAUGAGAAUUCUGUAGACUCUCCCUUAGCAACAGUGAGAUUUAUUCCCUGGGUUUUAGAGCUUAUACACGUAAGCAACUACGUAAAUACGCAAACUAGGGAUGCAACAUCUCCUUCGAAAUGGACUGGGACUGGGACUGGAACUGAAUGGAAGAACAUCAUUUUGUGGAUGAAAUGUGUUUCGGGAGUGAAAGAAAUGCAUUUUGUGUAUGUUGCAGGUGCAUGCCUGUGUAGUACCUUCUAAUUCCUACACAGUAGGUAUACUAACUGAGUAACAAACUGUUAAAAACACAGCUAAAUUGUUUACAUUUGCAGAGUAAUGGUCUUUAGGUCUCCGCUAUCCAGAUAACAUUUGUUCUUUCGUCAUACACAUCUUCAGUGCUAUCGUCACUAUUUUAAAUUGAGAUGGGCAUGGUGAUUAAUCUUCAGAAGUUCAAGAAAAUAAAAUUGUCAGUAGUUCUAGGUAAGUCAUAACUGUUUAUUGUAUUCUGAAUCAGUUCUGCUUCAUGUAGACAAUUGCCAAAUAUAGUAUAUGAUUGAGUUGAUCUGUUUUUGCUAAUAUACAUCCACUUUUUCAAUGGGGAAGUAACUUUAACACUGUUUUGAUCCAACUUGCAUUCAGGCUGUGGCGUUGAGAUGGCCUUGGUUAGCAUAUAGCAAUGCUCAUUAUACUAUAUUCUUAAAGCACAUUAUUGCAUCUGUGCUGGCCUUUGAUCUGAUCUAGUUUAUACUAUUUGACAUCCUGUUUGGUUGUGUGAUGAUUCCAUAGUCAAAUUGUUUUGCUAAUAAAGGUACUCAAAUGGUGAA